AAAAAAAUAAUAAUCAUGGUGAUUUUUUUUUUUGAAAACAAAAAGGAAUUUUGUGAAUUGUUCUCUAAGUAUAAAUUCUUACAAAGUAGGGUGGGGUGUUGUAUCUAUUUGACUCAGUGGUAUCUAAUUUCAAGUUUUUUUACUCACUUACCAGAAAAGCCACCAUCCACCUUUUAACCAGGCCACGUUAUAACCUUUAAAAGUCCUCUAAUGUGUGUGCUCAUGAUAUGGUGAUUGAUUUUUGAGAAUGUCUGCAAAUUUAUAGUAGUCUAGUUAUGAUGUGUUGA
rnacentral:lncRNA from 1 species